CUACGUGCCAGCAGCCGCGGUAAUACGGAGAGUGCGAGCGUUAAUCGGAAUAACUGGGCGUAAAGGGCACGCAGGCGGUGACUUAAGUGAGGUGUGAAAGCCCCGGGCUUAACCUGGGAAUUGCAUUUCAUACUGGGUCGCUAGAGUACUUUAGGGAGGGGUAGAAUUCCACGUGUAGCGGUGAAAUGCGUAGAGAUGUGGAGGAAUACCGAAGGCGAAGGCAGCCCCUUGGGAAUGUACUGACGCUCAUGUGCGAAAGCGUGGGGAGCAAACAGGAUUAGAUACCCUGGUAGUCCACGCUGUAAACGAUGUCGAUUUGGGGGUUGAACUUUGAGUUUGGCGCCCGUAGCUAACGUGAUAAAUCGACCGCCUGGGGAGUACGGCCGCAAGGUUAAAACUCAAAUGAAUUGACGGGGGCCCGCACAAGCGGUGGAGCAUGUGGUUUAAUUCGAUGCAACGCGAAGAACCUUACCUACUCUU
rnacentral:rRNA from 1 species